UGUUCUCAUUGCUGUUGUGUUCUCU
rnacentral:piRNA from 1 species